ACUUGAUAUUCUUAAACAAAUGUGGUUUAUAUGUAAGAUUUAGGGGGGAAAAUUCAUGUUUGCAAGAAUACUACGUUUGUUCAGCUCUAUUUCAAAGUGUUUUUGUUUUUACAAGCAUGUCUUGAGUUUUCAUUUUGGUUCUUCGUUCUUCUAUGCAGUAUAUUUACUUUCUUUUUAGAAUAUUAUGGUGAUUCCAGCAUUUUGUUUCCAUGUUCCACAUGGUGGUAACGAGUUGUUUACAUCCUCUUUUUGUAGGUUAACGCCAUUGAUCAUUUGCUUACAUGCACUCCUCACUCUGAAGAAUUCUUAUGGGUUUUGUGGGAACUUUGUGCGCUUUCUAGAUCUAACUGUGGACAUCAGGCUUUGUUGGUUCUUGGAUUUUUUCCAGAGGUUAUUGCAGCAUUGAUUGAAGCAUUGCGCUCAGUCAAGGAGUUGGAGUCCGCUGCAAAGAGUGGCGGAGCUUCACCCCUGGAUGUUGCGAUUUUUCAUUCAGCAGUAGAGAUUUUUGAAAUCAUUGUUACUGAUUCCACAGCAUCUUCUCUAGGCUCCUGGAUUGCACAUGCAGUCGAACUUCAUGGAGCUUUACAUUCCUCAUCCCCAGGGUCAAAUAGAAAAGAUGCUCCCACACGACUUUUGGAGUGGAUAGAUGCUGGUGUAGUUUAUCACAAAAAUGGGCCUGUUGGUCUUCUACGGUAUGCCGCUGUGUUAGCUUCUGGCGGAGAUGCUCACUUAACUUCGACUAGUAUUCUAGUGUCAGAUCUCAUGGAUGUUGAACAUGCUAUUGGAGAUCCUUCCGGUGGUUCUGAUAUAAAUGUAAUGGAGAAUCUUGGGAAAUAAUCUCUGAGAAAACAUUUGACGGAGUUGCACUUCGUGAUUCUUCUGUAGCUCAGCUGACAACAGCAUUUCGGAUUUUAGCUUUCAUAUCCGAGAACUCUGUAUGUGUUCUUUAUCUUGAAAUGUAUAUAAUUUACAAUAAUUUUUUAGUGGCUUACUUUAGACUUGUUGGUGUAGACUGUAGCUGCAACACUAUAUGAUG